GUUACGAUUUCAUUUCGUUUCUUUCUUUUCAUCUCCCCUAACUUUUUCCCAUCUUUGCAUCUGCCUCUCUUCUCGACUGCUCAAGUUCCCAAUAAUCAUAAAUUUGCUAUCAGAUGAACGAGAGUAUAGGAACCCAGCGAGAAGGACUCAAGACCCAUAUUUAUAUAGAGCACUUACAUCGGAAAAAUCUACGCUACUCAUAACUGGACGCUGUAGGAGCUUGCCACAAUCAGCUCAACCGCAGCAGCGAAGCGUAUUGUCCAUUUCGUGGCGGAAUUUGCUUGUCUGCGUAGUAAUUCAGAUGUUGAUUUUGAUUGGGACGAUUUUUUUAGAUAAAUUUCUCAAGUUUCUAAUUACUGGUUCUGUGGAUGUAAAUAGAAACGCUAGGUUCAGGGCGUGUCAGAUAAUUUCUGAGAAGAAGUCCCUUGAGCUCUCUGCUGGUAAAUAGAACUUUUGAGCUCGAUGAAUUUUUGGAUGCUUUCCAGUCAGGUCUAAAUGGUAGUGGAAAGACAUAUCUGGUCCACUGUAUGUGGAAGACUUGACAAACCAUCAUUGGAUAUCAAAGAAUUUGGAUUAGGGAAUGGCAUAUUUUCUUCCCCCUUACUGGCCUUAUACAUGUUUAAGGACACUGAGAGACCAAACUAUACACCCUCUAUCUAAAGAAGAAGCAGAGAAAGGGGUAGCAAAGUUGUACACCGAUGGAGAAAGCUCAACAGAAGCUGGAAGCGUUCUGGAUGCUCAUUUGAAAACCAUGUUGAGAGACUACUAAAGUAAGCUCUUCAUCUCCGAUUGGUCCAGCUCUGCAUCUCUAUUCCAGCUCAGCAACAGUCUUCUUUGCUUUCCUGAAGUGAGCUAUUAACUACAGAAGCACGAAGACGUCAAAAUAUCUACGACAAACUCAAAUCAACACAAUCUAUCACUUCAGCUCUUUUGGUCAUACGUGAACACCUCCCUUCAGGACAAGCUUGUUUAAGAAUAAACAUCGACGCCGAAAAAAUUGGGAACGUUGCUAGAUUCAUCAACCAUUCUUGUUGAAAAGUGGAGACUUGAUGCACAGAAGAUGUAUGACUAAAUCUGCGAGAGAGGUGAUUGUUAUGAUAAUUACAGUACUUGAAUGCUGAUCAAGGGUAAUUUUAGUGAAGGGAAGGUAGAAGAAGAUAGAAAAAGAUGAUUGAAGACCGAUGGGGAAAGGUUGGAAACAAUUUUAAUUUUGAUGGCAUAUAACGUAAAUACAAAGAGAGUCUCACAUCAACAAGGACAAUAUAUUAUCAAACAAAAUAA